rnacentral:tRNA from 1 species
GCUGGGGAUGUAGCUCAGUGGUAGAACAUUUGCCUAGCAUGCAUGUGGCCCUGGGUUCCAUCCCCAGCCCUGCA